AACUUAAUUAAGUAAGCGUUAAAAAGAUAUACUGACGUAGAAGUCUUAUCUCAUAUAUGAUUUAGAAUUGAUCACCUCACGUAAAGUAUAGUGUAGUAUAGCGUAUUCUGUUAUGCUGAGAAUACUGUUUUGAAGAUUAUUGAGGACAUAACCUAAGGGACACGAUUUAGAGUGCAAAUACGUAUAAAUCUAUAUUUUAUUGGAAAAGAAGUAAGAUGAAUAUGAUUUUAUAAAUUAUUUUAUAAACGGAUAAUCAAGGAAAAUUGCUGAAGAAUUGUAUAACUUCUUUCUAUUCCGAUAACAACAUAACCAAAUGACAGCCCUCAAGCACGCAGAUUAUUUUAACAAAUAUAUAACUAUAAUUGUAGACUGAUUUUUGCAUGUUACAUAUCUUGGUUGGAACUGCAUUUAUCUAUAUAUUUAAAAAAAAUGACAAGAAAACACUACAAGAAAGUAAACAAAAAUUUUAAUUAAUUGUAAUGAAGGAACGUGAUUCAUGUAAUAUAUUUUUAUUGCAUUGGAUACAACAGUUAAUAGUACACAGGUCACUUGAUUCUGUAAAUAUUACUUAGAAAAUACAUGUGAUAGAAUAUCUUUAAAAGUAUCAUUAUAAACGUGUGGGAAUGGGUAAUUGCCUGUGUAAAGAUACACCAGAAGAACUUGAAACAUAUAAUAGACAAAAUCAUGCAGAAAUUGAAAAUACCAUAUUACCAGAAUCAAGUGUUGGCACAGUUGCAUCUGGUGAUAUGAGCACUACAACUUUUAAAUUUCCAACUUCAGCUAACAUUGAUAAAUUGGUACUUGAAACUCUUGGAGUAAUUGGUUUCCUUGUUGAUAAUGAACAAGAGCCACCACCUGCAAUGUCAAAAUUACAUGCUAUUGCUGAUAAAGAAGAUGGAUGGAUACAAGUUGUAAGUUCAAUGGUUAACGUUAUUCCUAUGCAUAAUCCAUUAGGUCCUUCAGUUAUUACACUUCUAUUGGAUGAUUGUCCAUUACCAUCAAAGGAAUUGGUUCUACGGUUGUCACACAUGUUUCAAUUAUCUCAAAAAUUUGGAAAUGUACAGACUAGUGCAACUCAACAACGUAACAUCUGCGUGGUAUUGGGUUGUAUAGCAGAAAAGUUGGCUGGCCCAAGUAGCAUUGCUAUAUUAUCUGAUGAAACUUUGGAUUAUCUUAUUUCAAACAUUAAAGAAGAUAUUGAUCCUUAUGUCGUGUUAUAUGCGUUAAUAGCCUUGGAAAAAUUUGCCCAAACUAGUGAGAAUAAAAUAACUAUAAAGAAACGUUUGAUGGCAGAAAAGCCAAAUCCAUUGCUAGAAUUGGAAAAAUGGGCAACAGAAACUCAUUAUAUACGUCGACAAGUAGGUUUUUGUGCGCGAUGGUGUUUAGACAAUUUACUUGUUAUGGAAGGUAGAAAGUAUUCUCACGAUUCAGUGGAUACAACUGGUAUCAACGUAAUGUUAAACACAAAGGAUGUAAGCGAGUACCUGAAAAUAUCGCCUAACGGUUUGGAAGCUCGGUGUGAUGCAUAUUCAUUUGAAAGUGUGAGAUGUACAUUUCAAGUAGACUCAGGAAUCUGGUACUAUGAAACACUUGUUAUAACUACAGGUGUAAUGCAAAUUGGAUGGGCUACAAAAGAUAGCACGUUUCUAAAUCACGAAGGCUAUGGUAUAGGUGAUGACGAAUAUUCUGUGUCUUACGAUGGUUGUCGUCGAUUAAUUUGGUAUAACGCAGACUGUGAAAGAUAUCCUGAUAGACCUUGUUGGAAAGCUGGUGACAUUUUAGGUUGUUUACUGGACUUGAACAAAUUGGAAAUAAUAUUUUCUAUAAAUGGUGUGCGACUAAGACCGUGUGUUCAAGUUUUCAAAACAGUACGGUCAGGAUUUUUUGCAGCAGCCAGUUUUAUGUCGUUCCAACAAUGUCUUUUUAAUUUUGGGAAUGUACCCUUUAAAUAUCCUCCUACUGAUCGCGAAUAUCAGAAAUUUAACGACCACGCUACUUUGAAGCCUGAAGAUAAGGUUGUGCUUCCUAGACACAUAUAUCUAGAUCAAUUGAGGAAACUUAGUGUUAGAGAGGAUUCAUGUACAUUGUGUUUUGACCAAAGAGCUUCAGUAAGAUUGCUACCAUGCAAUCACAGAGGAUUCUGCCAAACGUGUUCGAAUCAACUGAUAGAGUGUCCAAUGUGCAGAGCUACAAUCGAAGAAGUAGUCACCGAUAACACAUGACACCACACGAGCGUACCGGCAUUUUUUAAUACUCUUCCACUAUCUUUCUCAUAUUGUAUGAUUCUCAGGAACUGCCGCGAGUAUUUUAAAUCAAGAGAAGGACUACAAAUCAAUCACAGAAAGAAAAAUUGUAUUUAAACAUAUUGCUCCUCUAAGAUAUGUCAUUCUGAAUGUUACAUUCAUAUAUGUAGAUAUAACAUACAAAUUAUCAUAUUACAAAUUCAAGUUACAGAAGAAUAUCAUCUUAUAUCUACCGGCUGUGCAAAUUACUUUCCCUAGGUUUUACCUAAGAACAUCUUACAUCUAAUUAGACGUUUACAGUAAAAUAGCAAGAUAAAAAUUUAAAUAUUUUUUUUACUCUAUACACAUUAGAAAAAGAGAUAAAAUUUGCAAUUUACAUCUGAAUUGCUACCAAUGUUGUACAUUUCCAAUUUAAUGUUUGUGACUGGUUCACAAAUAUGUAAACACUAUUUUGUCUAUGAACAUAAUGUUCUCUUGUGUUAUAUUAUGAAAGUCUGCAUCAUCUAUUACUUGUCAAGACUGACAAGCAAGUAACUGAAUUUGCGCUGUAAUGUAAGAUUGAUUUUAGAAAACUGUAAAAUAUUAUCUUGUAGCAUAUAUGGAAAGAACAUAUAUAUAUUGUAUAAGCUUAUAUUAUAUUCUUGUGAAGAUAUAAAAUGUUAUCAUAUGUAUAACUUUGCAAAAGUUUUCUAUAAGUUCUGUCGAUUUUUAUUCGUCAUCUUUCUUAUUGUUUAAGAUGAUUCAUUGUCAUUUGUAUAUUAAAUAUAUAUAAGUGACGCGUCUCUUUUAUAUAUUUUUUAUUUAUUAACUACAAGAUAAUCAUUGCUUUGCAAUAAUUAUUCAUAUAAUAAUCAAUAUAAUUGUGCAAUUUUCGGUUAAUAUAAUAAAAGAAAUUAAAAAUUUUGGAAAUAAAAGUUUACAUAUCACACUGUA